rnacentral:rRNA from 1 species
AUGUCGGUCUUUAAAAUUCAUAAAAAAAAUUGUAAAGGAAUCAUUGAUGCGAUAGCGCAUUUCUGGUGGGGAGAUGAGGAGAAUCAGAAGAGGAUGCAUUGGAUGUCCUGGUGGAAAUUAUGCGUACCUAAAAAUCAAGGAGGGAUGGGAUUUCGUGACAUACACUCUUUCAACUUGGCGUUGCUCGCCAAACAGGCAUGGCAUCUUCUGGAUAAUCCUGAUUCCUUGUGUGCUUCUAUCCUACGGGAAAAGUACUACCCCGAUGGUGAUUUGUUAAAUGCUAAGAUAAGGAAAGGCUCUUCCUUUACAAGGCAAAGUAUCAUGGCAGGCACAAAUACUCUGAAACAUGGAUAUAUUUGGCGAGUGGGGAAUGGACAUAACAUCAAUAUUUGGGAAAAUGUCUGGAUCCCAAACUAUGCCACUAGGAAAAUUGUAACGCCUAAGGGAGGUAAUCUGUUAACUAAGGUAGGUGAUCUCGUUGAUCCUGCUUCCAAUAGUUGGGAUGAAGACCUGAUUAGACAAACUAUGUGGCCAAUCGAUGUGCAAAGGAUUCUUUCAAUCCCCUACCGCAAUAUGAUAUGCAAGAUUUCAUUGCCUGGAAUUAUACGAAAAAUGGUAUAUUCUCGGUCCGUUCAGCCUAUUCAAUGGAGUGGAACCACCAGUAUGGAAGCAAAUUAA